rnacentral:rRNA from 1 species
GGAAAGCGCCGCGAACUGACGGAAUAGUUCGUUGAAGUACCUACCUAUAAGAUCUGCAGGCAAAUCCACAGAUCUUGGGGAAAUACGAUAGUACUCGGAGUCUUCGGACAAAGAGAUAGUGCGCCUAAGGGCUUCCAAGAAAAACCUCUAAACUUCAGGUAAUUAGUACCAGUACCGUAAACCGACACAGGUAGUUGAGGAGAGAAUCCUAAGGUGCUCGAGAGAUUCAUGGCUAAGGAAUUAGGCAAAAUAGACCUGUAACUUCGGGAGAAAGGUCGCCAGCGCAAGCUGGCCGCAGUGAAGAGGUCCAGGCGACUGUUUAUCAAAAACACAGGGCUCUGCAAAAUCGUAAGAUGAAGUAUAGGGCCUGACACCUGCCCGGUGCUGGAAGGUUAAGAGGAGAUGUUAUCUUCGGAGAAGCAUUGAAUUGAAGCCCCAGUAAACGGCGGCCGUAACGAUAACGGUCCUAAGGUAGCGAAAUUCCUUGUCGGGUAAGUUCCGACCUGCACGAAUGGUGUAACGAUCUGGACACUGUCUCAGCCAUGAGCUCGGUGAAAUUGUAGUAACGGUGAAGAUGCCGUUUACCCGCAGUGGGACGAAAAGACCCUGUGCACCUUUACUAUAGCUUAGUAUUGACCUUGGAUAAAUGAUGUGUAGGAUAGGUUGGAGACUGUGAAGUGGCGUCGCCAGGCGUUGUGGAGUCAUUGUUGAAAUACAACCCUUUGUUUAUCUGAGGCCUAACCCCGUCUUGCGGGGGACAUUGCUUGGUGGGUAGUUUGACUGGGGUGGUCCCUCCAAAAGAGUAACGGAGGCUUCUAAAGGUUCCCUCAGUACGCUUGGUAACCGUGCGUAGAGUGCAAUGGCAUAAGGGAGCUUGACUGAGAGACAUACAGGUCGAUCAGGUACGAAAGUAGAGCAUAGUGAUCCGGUGGUUCCGCAUGGAAGGGCCAUCGCUCAAAGGAUAAAAGGUACGCCGGGGAUAACCGGCUGAUCUCCCCCAAGAGCUCAUAUCGACGGGGGGGUUUGGCACCUCGAUGUCGGCUCGUCACAUCCUGGGGCUGGAGAAGGUCCCAAGGGUUGGGCUGUUCGCCCAUUAAAGUGGCACGCGAGCUGGGUUCAGAACGUCGUGAGACAGUUCGGUCUCUAUCUACUGUGGGCGUUAGAAAUUUGAGUGGAUCUGAUUCUAGUACGAGAGGACCGAAUUGGACAAACCUCUAGUGUAUCUGUUGUCCCGCCAGGGGCACCGCAGAGUAGCUACGUUUGGAAGGGAUAAGCGCUGAAAGCAUAUAAGCGCGAAACCCACCACAAGAUGAGAUUUCUUUUAAGGAUCGUGGAAGAUGACCACAUUGAUAGGCUAUAGAUGUAAAGGCAGUAAUGUCAUAGUCGAGUAGUACUAAUAAUCC